UUGUGGGUUCUUUACCAACUCAAGGCAUUCCAGUAUACUCUAUUGGUGUUUGCAGAUUGCUGCUUAUCAGGUUACAUCAGCUCGUGCUUUGCCACGCCACACAGCAGAUCCUACAAGGUGUAGUGUUGAUGGAUGGGAACAGCCCCUUGAGGCUCAGCUCAUGGAUGCCCUGGUGAAUGUGCUGUCCUAAGCUUUGGGAGAUUUCUCAUCUGAACAGACUUCAAGAUGGAUGGAGCAGUGACAAGUGCCUGCCUUCAGGGAUGCUGGAUUAUAAUUUAGGGGCCUGCUUGGUUCUCAGAGUCUCCAGACUCUGCAGUCA